CUGCAGUCGAGGGGCAGCACAGGUAGCAAUACUGGGUGGCGACCGGCAAACGGGUGCGGAACACGUACGUAACCUUCCUUUAAGUGGGAGAUAGCCCGAAGAAAUUCGGAUUAAUACCCCAUAAGAUUGUGGAGUGGCAUCACUCAGCAAUUAAAGAAAUUCGCUUAAAGAUGGGCGUGCGGCUGAUUAGGUAGUUGGUGAGGUAACGGCUCACCAAGCCAACGAUCAGUAACUGGCGUGAGAGCGCGACCAGUCACACGGGCACUGAGACACGGGCCCGACUCCUACGGGAGGCAGCAGUAAGGAAUAUUGGUCAAUGGACGCAAGUCUGAACCAGCCAUGCCGCGUGAAGGAUGAAGGUCCUCUGGAUUGUAAACUUCUUUUAUAUGGGAAGAAACCAUCUUUUUCUAAGGGUGUUGACGGUACCAUAGGAAUAAGCACCGGCUAACUCCGUGCCAGCAGCCGCGGUAAUACGGAGGGUGCAAGCGUUAUCCGGAUUCACUGGGUUUAAAGGGUGCGUAGGCGGAUUAGUAAGUCCGUGGUGAAAUCUCCGAGCUUAACUCGGAAACUGCCGUGGAUACUAUUAAUCUUGAAUACUGUGGAGGUUAGCGGAAUAUGUCAUGUAGCGGUGAAAUGCAUAGAUAUGACAUAGAACACCAAUUGCGAAGGCAGCUGGCUACACAGAGAUUGACGCUGAGGCACGAAAGCGUGGGGAUCAAACAGGAUUAGAUACCCUGGUAGUCCACGCCCUAAACGAUGAUUACUCGACAUUUGCGAUAUACAGUAAGUGUCUGAGCGAAAGCAUUAAGUAAUCCACCUGGGAAGUACGACCGCAAGGUUGAAACUCAAA
rnacentral:rRNA from 1 species